GUAUUCAAAUCAUUAAUCUCUGAAGAUUAACUCUUCGUUCAGACAAAAACAAAACAAACAAAAGGUUUUUCAAACAUGGCGGUAGCCUGACCCGACCAACCGAAGUGAUUGGGUCGCGAAGGUUGGCUCACCCUUGCAGGGAACGCCUUCAAACUACCAAAUACAGACAAUGGUGCACACAGGUGUUGAUUUGGCACGAGACCAAAUAUUUUUUAAUGAUCCAACCGCAGGUUCACCUACGGUUA
rnacentral:misc_RNA from 1 species